rnacentral:rRNA from 1 species
UCGCUCCUACCGAUUGAGUGAUCCGGUGAAUUAAUCGGACUGCUGCACAUGUAGUUCGCUACGUAUGUAGAAGAAAGAUUUGUGAACCUUAUCACUUAGAGGAAGGAG